rnacentral:lncRNA from 1 species
UAAAACAUAAGAAGAAUUCGAAUCAAUUUCCAUAUGUAGGAGACUUACGGUGUUAAGACGAUACCGAUCUUGUGAAUUUUUCCCAAGUCUCCGCAAACUAAUCUCAAAUUAGUCAGUCUAUAGCCUAAAACUUUCAAGAAGAUGCAUUUUUUUUUAAUUUAGCAACUAAAAACCAAAAACAGAGAAAAACUGAAAAACAAAA